rnacentral:lncRNA from 1 species
GUAGGUCCGCUACAUAUCCGAUUUUAGACGAAAUCUUAUCUCACCGAGCAGAUUGAAUUCUAGAGGCUAUAGGAUGGUAGCUGGUGGAGAAAUCCUGAAGGUGUUGCACGGAGAUAGGAUUAUUCUGGAGGAAAAAAAGAGGACGUAAGGACAUUACUACCUAAUGGGGAGCCCAAUAUGAGGUAGAACUUCCGGAGCCAGGAGGAGUGUAGAGUGAGGUAGAGCUCCAGGUGGAGGUAGAUUGGGCACGAGACAUGAUACUCGGAAGGAUGAGAGGCGAUAUCGCAAGGUGAGAUUUCUAUUACCAUAGGAUGAUACCCUAAGC